rnacentral:piRNA from 1 species
UGCAUCUUGCUGACAGGACCCUGAU